rnacentral:rRNA from 1 species
UAUUGGACAAUGGGCGAAAGCCUGAUCCAGCCAUGCCGCGUGUGUGAAGAAGGUCUUCGGAUUGUAAAGCACUUUAAGUUGGGAGGAAGGGCAUUAACCUAAUACGUUAGUGUUUUGACGUUACCGACAGAAUAAGCACCGGCUAACUCUGUGCCGGCAGCCGCGGUAAUACAGAGGGUGCAAGCGUUAAUCGGAAUUACUGGGCGAAAGCGCGCGUAGGUGGUUUGUUAAGUUGGAUGUAAAUCCCCGGGCUCAACCUGGGACUGCAUUCAAAACUACUACAGAGAUGGAGAGGGUGGUGAAUUUCCUGUGAGCGGUAAAUGCGAAAAGAAGAACACCAGUGGCAAGCGCCACCUGGCAAUCUGACUGCGUGAGA